AUUGAACGCUGGCGGCAGGCCUAACACAUGCAAGUCGAACGGUAGCACAGAGAGCUUGCUCUUGGGUGACGAGUGGCGGACGGGUGAGUAAUGUCUGGGAAACUGCCCGAUGGAGGGGGAUAACUACUGGAAACGGUAGCUAAUACCGCAUAACGUCUACAGACCAAAGUGGGGGACCUUCGGGCCUCACACCAUCGGAUGUGCCCAGAUGGGAUUAGCUAGUAGGUGGGGUAAUGGCUCACCUAGGCGACGAUCCCUAGCUGGUCUGAGAGGAUGACCAGCCACACUGGAACUGAGACACGGUCCAGACUCCUACGGGAGGCAGCAGUGGGGAAUAUUGCACAAUGGGCGCAAGCCUGAUGCAGCCAUGCCGCGUGUGUGAAGAAGGCCUUCGGGUUGUAAAGCACUUUCAGCGAGGAGGAAGGGUGGUGUCUUAAUACGGCAUCACAUUGACGUUACUCGCAGAAGAAGCACCGGCUAACUCCGUGCCAGCCGCCGCGGUAACAC
rnacentral:rRNA from 1 species